ACGCUGGCGGCAUGCUUUACACAUGCAAGUCAAACGGUAACAGGCCGCAAGGUGCUGACGAGUGGCGAACGGGUGAGUAAUGCAUCGGAACGUGCCCAGUCGUGGGGGAUAACUACUCGAAAGAGUAGCUAAUACCGCAUACGAUCUAUGGAUGAAAGCGGGGGACCGUAAGGCCUCGCGCGAUUGGAGCGGCCGAUGUCAGAUUAGGUAGUUGGUGGGGUAAAGGCUCACCAAGCCAACGAUCUGUAGCUGGUCUGAGAGGACGACCAGCCACACUGGGACUGAGACACGGCCCAGACUCCUACGGGAGGCAGCAGUGGGGAAUUUUGGACAAUGGGCGCAAGCCUGAUCCAGCAAUGCCGCGUGCAGGAAGAAGGCCUUCGGGUUGUAAACUGCUUUUGUACGGAACGAAACGGCUCUGGUUAAUACCCGGGGCUAAUGACGGUACCGUAAGAAUAAGCACCGGCUAACUACGUG
rnacentral:rRNA from 1 species